rnacentral:rRNA from 1 species
CUACGGGGGGCUCCAGUGGGGAAUAUUGCACAAUGGGCGCAAGCCUGAUGCAGCCAUGCCGCGUGUAUGAAGAAGGCCUUCGGGUUGUAAAGUACUUUCAGCGGGGAGGAAGGGAGUAAAGUUAAUACCUUUGCUCAUUGACGUUACCCGCAGAAGAAGCACCGGCUAACUCCGUGCCAGCAGCCGCGGUAAUACGGAAGGUGCAAGCGUUAAUCGGAAUUACUGGGCGUAAAGCGCACGCAGGCGGGUUGUUAAGUCAGAUGUGAAAUCCCCGGGCUCAACCUGGGAACUGCAUCUGAUACUGGCGAGCUUGAGUCUCGUAGAGGGGGGUAGAAUUCCAGGUGUAGCGGUGAAAUGCGUAGAGAUCUGGAGGAAUACCGGUGGCGAAGGCGGCCCCCUGGACGAAGACUGACGCUCAGGUGCGAAAGCGUGGGGAGCAAACAGGAUUAGAUACCCCAGUAGUC